UGGGGAAUAUUGGACAAUGGGGGAAACCCUGAUCCAGCCAUGCCGCGUGUGUGAAGAAGGCCUUCGGGUUGUAAAGCACUUUCAGCAGGAAAGAAAAGCCUGGGGCUAAUACCUCCGGGUAUUGACGGUACCUGCAUAAGAAGCACCGGCUAACUCCGUGCCAGCAGCCGCGGUAAUACGGAGGGUGCAAGCGUUAAUCGGAAUUACUGGGCGUAAAGCGCGCGUAGGUGGUUUGGUAAGUCGGGUGUGAAAGCCCCGGGCUUAACCUGGGAAUGGCAUUCGAUACUGCCUGACUAGAGUGUGAUAGAGGGAAGUGGAAUUCCGCAUGUAGCGGUGAAAUGCGUAGAGAUGCGGAGGAACACCAAUGGCGAAGGCAACUUCCUGGAUCAACACUGACACUGAGGUGCGAAAGCGUGGGUAGCAAACAGGAUUAGAUACCCCCGUAGUCC
rnacentral:rRNA from 1 species